GGUGGACGGUGUGCGUGGUGUCCGUCCAUGCUAUGUGUUGUUGCCGGGCUGUGUUUUGCAGGCUGUGCAACAGCGCUCACGCCACACCAGCAGCCAUAGAACACAAGGAGAUCAUAGUACUGGUCAAUGAUGGUCAUUCGUGACUACUUACCAUUGACCAGCCUCCAAAUUCUCCAACACGC